AACGCGAAGAACCUUACCUAGGCUUGACAUAUACAGGACGACGGCAGAAAUGUCGUUUCCCUUGUGGCUUGUAUACAGGUGGUGCAUGGUUGUCGUCAGCUCGUGUCGUGAGAUGUUGGGUUAAGUCCCGCAACGAGCGCAACCCCUGUCUCAUGUUGCCAGCACGUAAUGGUGGGGACUCGUGAGAGACUGCCGGGGUCAACUCGGAGGAAGGUGGGGAUGACGUCAAAUCAUCAUGCCCCUUAUGUCUAGGGCUUCACACAUGCUACAAUGGCUAGUACGGAGGGCUGCGAGACCGUGAGGUGGAGCGAAUCCCUUAAAGCUGGCCUCAGUUCGGAUUGGGGUCUGCAACUCGACCCCAUGAAGUCGGAGUCGCUAGUAAUCGCAGAUCAGCAAUGCUGCGGUGAAUACGUUCCCGGGCCUUGUACACACCG
rnacentral:rRNA from 1 species